rfam:Lampropedia sp. CT6, whole genome shotgun sequence.
GGAGAGGUGGCAGAGUGGUCGAAUGUACCUGACUCGAAAUCAGGCGUACGUGCAAGCGUACCGAGGGUUCGAAUCCCUCCCUCUCCG